GCCCUCCGGGCACGGUUAGUGGCGCGGUACCGGAGAGGGCCGGCUUCCUACCGUCGCUUGGUGUGAACUCGGGUGCCCUGGGAAGAACCCCAAAAUCUGCCGCACCACGACUAAGGUUCUGAAAACGUGUUUCAGAGAUGCUCAGCUCAGCGGAGAAAAUUUGCCGGUAGUUACACGUCUUUCGUUGUUCGGUAUCCGAGGAAUGGAGAAGGCUAGAAAUCUCUUGAUAUAAAAAGUUACCUUACUUGAAAAUUUGAGUAAGGGGAGAGAAUUUCCUGCAAAGCUAACUUGAAUUAGUCUGAGAAGGAAGGUAAAACUCAUCCAGGAUUUGGAGACUUUUUAAAUUGCGAUUGAAUCCUAACGGUUUUUAUUUUAUUAUCACUAUACCUUAAACUCACCAAGAAAACUCCGUUAGCGAUGUUUAUAAAUGUCUAAAAAACCAA